UAUUACGGCCAUUUCAUGUUGAAAGCACUGGUUCUCGUUCGAUCACCGAAGUUAAGCAACGUCGAGAUGAGUGACCGCUUUUGAAACCUAGGUGCUGUGACCG
rnacentral:rRNA from 1 species